rnacentral:rRNA from 1 species
AACGUAGGAGACAAACGUUAUCCGGAGUUACUGGGCGUAAAGGGCGUGUAGGUGGUUUUGUAAGUCUGGCGUGAAAUUUUUCGGCUUAACCGGGAAAGGUCGUCGGAUACUGCAAGGCUAGAGGACGGUAGAGGCGUGUGGAAUUCCGUGUGGAGCGGUGAAAUGCGUUGAUCUACAGAGGAACACCAAAAAAGGCGAAGGCAGUCAACUAUUCUGUUCCUGACAUUGAGGCAUGAAAGCGUGGGGAGCAAACCGG